AACGAACGCUGGCGGCAGGCCUAACACAUGCAAGUCGAGCGAACCCUUCGGGGUUAGCGGCGGACGGGUUAGUAGCGCGUGGGAAUAUACCCUUUGGUACGGAAUAGCCUCGGGAAACUGAGAGUAAUACCGUAUGUGCCCUUCGGGGGAAAGAUUUAUCGCCAAAGGAUUAGCCCGCGUUGGAUUAGAUAGUUGGUGGGGUAAUGGCCUACCAAGUCUACGAUCCAUAGCUGGUUUGAGAGGAUGAUCAGCAACACUGAGACUGAGACACGGCCCAGACUCCUACGGGAGGCAGCAGUGGGGAAUCUUAGACAAUGGGCGCAAGCCUGAUCUAGCCAUGCCGCGUGGACGAUGAAGGCCUUAGGGUUGUAAAGUCCUUUCAGAUGGGAAGAUAAUGACGGUACCAUCAGAAGAAGCCCCGGCUAACUACGUGCCAGCAGCCGCGGUAAAGUCAGUGAC
rnacentral:rRNA from 1 species